rnacentral:rRNA from 1 species
CAGCAGCCGCGGUAAUACGAAGGGUGCAAGCGUUAAUCGGAAUUACUGGGCGUAAAGCGUGCGUAGGCGGUUUGUUAAGUCUGCUGUGAAAUCCCCGGGCUCAACCUGGGAAUGGCAGUGGAUACUGGCAAGCUAGAGUGUGUCAGAGGAUGGUGGAAUUCCCGGUGUAGCGGUGAAAUGCGUAGAGAUCGGGAGGAACAUCAGUGGCGAAGGCGGCCAUCUGGGACAACACUGACGCUGAGGCACGAAAGCGUGGGGAGCAAACAGGAUUAGAUACCCCAGUAGUCCCUGUCUCUUAUCC